rnacentral:rRNA from 1 species
CAGCAGCCGCGGUAAUACAGAGGGUGCGAGCGUUAAUCGGAUUUACUGGGCGUAAAGCGUGCAUAGGCGGCUUCUUAAGUCGGAUGUGAAAUCCCUGAGCUUAACUUAGGAAUUGCAUUCGAUACUGGGAAGCUAGAGUAUGGGAGAGGAUGGUAGAAUUCCAGGUGUAGCGGUGAAAUGCGUAGAGAUCUGGAGGAAUACCGAUGGCGAAGGCAGCCAUCUGGCCUAAUACUGACGCUGAGGUACGAAAGCAUGGGGAGCAAACAGGAUUAGAUACCCCCGUAGUCCCUGUCUCUUAUAC